AAUUUUAUAGGAGAAUUCUGUACAAUUUGAAGGAAAGAAAUAAAAAAGAUCAUCGGUUGUCAUGUAUCCAUGAUUCUUGCAUUUCUCUUCACAACUGCUACCUAAAUAUCAGAUAGUUCUUCUGUGCAUAAAUCAACUUUGGUAGGAUAUUUCUAUUUCUAAGAGGGGAAAAAAAAUAAAAUAUAAAAUACAAGAGUGAGGGUUAUAAAGGCGCAGCCUGCAUUUUGCUCGAGUUUGUGUUGUCUGUCUUCAAUGAUGUUGGUCUAGAUUUGAAUUCUUUUACAACAUGCCACAAGUCCUCCCCCCAGGACCAUUUAGGGUCAUUUAGAGCACGUACAGAAUUGAGGCAAACGAGAAGAGUACCACCUUCAUGUAAUAGAACCGUCAACCAUAGGGGAAGAUAUCCAAAAACAGAUGGAAGAGAAGCCAGAACUAUACAAGUUAAAGCAAGAGCCACAUUUUGCUUGACCAGAGAAGUUGUUUGGCGGGACUUUGCAACACAGAAUGGAACACCAGAUAUAUUGUCUCGCAGCAAUAGGACAUCUGCUACUGCUAUGGCCGUUGCACUUGCACGUUGAGCAAGAACAAUACCUACAGUCGCAGCAGCAAGUGCUGGUGCAUCAUUGAUACCUUCACCUACCAUAAUCAGACCUCCCCCCAUAUCCCUUGAGAUACUCUUCACAUGAUUGAGCUUGUUCUCAGGCUUCAGGCUGUAAUGAACUUCAGUGAUACCCACAGCUCUUGCAACUCUUAGAGCACUCGAUUUGUGAUCACCAGUUAGCAUCAUAACACGGAGCUUUGCUUUAUCCUGUAAUUCUGCUAUGACAUCUGAAACCCCAACUCGAGGUUUAUCCUCAAGGUGAAUCAAUGUUACCUUUUCAU
rnacentral:misc_RNA from 1 species